GGGAAACUGUACCAAAUACUAUACUGAAAUCCAUGUUGAUGUCAACAGCAAAAACACACUUUAAUUCUCCUGAUAUAGUCUUGAAUUAAAUUAAGUCACUAUAGUAUAAUCUGCCUUUUAUAACUAUACUUCAUAUUCAGACAAACUGUGAUUUGUAUGAAAUUGCGUUGAUUUAGUGGUUCACCCAUAUAAUGGACCAAAUUGCCAAAUGACCAAAUCAAAAAUGCAAAAAAGGAUGGAAAAGAGGGAAGGAGCUGAAUCGUGUGCCCUUCAUGUGCCUUGAUGUACAAGGGGCUUGAGGAUUUUUUUAUUUUAUUUUGAG